GGCUUCCGAGAUGGGAAAAGGAAAUGCCCUUUUGCAGCAUCCUGGAAUAUCAGCUUCCAGGCUGGCAUCUCAAGCAGUAGGACUGUUGCCUGGGAGACAAGGAACAGGAAAGAACACCCAGGGUAGGGUGCGGGCUACAUCAAGAGCCAUUCUUGGAGGGCAGUAGUUACAAACCACAGAAAAAAAUAAGCAGGCUGCACUGGACACGGAGCAAAAGGUUGGCUUCAUAUUCCUACGUAGCUGAGGAUUACCUGCUGUGCCAUCAUACCCCAUUUAUGUUUAUGUGACGCUGUGGAUGGAACUCAGCUCCUUGUGCAUGCUAGACCAGCACGUUACCAAUUGAGCCAUGCCUCAGACCCUGAAAACAGGGAUGAGAAGGAGCUUCUGCCCUGCUGCCGAAUAACCGAGGGAGGACCAGUCUGAGGAGCAACCGGCCUUGGGGUGCAGGAAGGCUUGGUGGCACUGAGUCCCAUUAGCUCCUUGGUUUGCCCUUCCUUAUUGCACAAGCAUUACAGAUAUCUGGGAGGAGGUAUUAGCUGCUAGAUCCUUGGUACCCUGGAUGUGGUUCCCAAGUGGGCGGUGCCAUCAUGGAGUGGUGUAAACAGUUCUGAUUCUUGGGGGCUGGUAAGGUGCUCAAUGGAUAAAGGCACUUGCUGUCAAAUUCGAUGCCCUGAGUUCAAUCCCCUCAGAAUCUGCAGGGUAGAAGGAGAGAACUGACUAUGGAGAAAUUCGCCCUCUGACCUACACUUGCAUACACGCACCCAUGCCCCCACCUUCAACAAAUAAAUGAAUAAAUGUGUGUUUUUUUAAAAAGCUGACUCUUGGGCCUUGUCCAAGAACUAUUAAACUAGAAUAUGUAUUUUAACAAGAACCCCAAGAGAUUUGUGUACUCAUUAAAAUUUGAAGAGUGCUACUUCCGGGGCAUUGUUCUGGCUGUCCUGGGUCUAUUCCAGUCCUCUGGUGAGAGUGAGAGGUUUUAUUUCCUCUAAGAGGAUUGGGCCUCUCCCCCAACUCUAGCUCCAGGCACAGCAUAGGGACUGAUCCACUCUUAAAUUGGCCCACAUGGCCUUUGGUACUCACUUCCAGAGCUUAGGACCAAAGGUGCUGGCUUCAUGCAUAUCCUUCUACAGUUUAGGAUGGAAGCCUGGAGCUGGGAGGCGUGUUGGUUACCACUACAGCCAAUCCAGGAAGAGUCCUCAUAGAGAGGAAGGGAACACAUAAAUGCGCUUACUCUGGGACGCCCUGCCGCGUGCGACAGCCAGAGAAAAUUCCUCCUGCUCACACCUUCCCCUUCACAGACUGACCCUUUGCUUCCCAAUCCUUGUUAAGACCUGAAGAACAGGACUUAAGUGGUGACCACCUGAAUGAGGUGGAUGGGAGGUAGGUCUAACCAGGCAGGGGACAUCUAUGUGGUGUCAUGCCCCCCUGAAAGGGCGGGGAGGGGUGAGGGAUGUCUGACAAGGCACAUGAUGAUGACUAAAAUCAAAACCCACACACCAGAGCCCUAAGGUGGGGCAGUUGGCAAAGGACAGCCUUUCUGGUAGGUGGUCCUGCCUGCACUCCCCUUCAAAGCAGACAUGGGAAGGUGUUUUCUGGAAUCCAGGCUCUGCCUGUCAUGGGUUUUCUGCCCAGCCCUCAGGCUUUGUGCCUAAGCACUAUCCUCUUCCGGCUGGAAGCCUGAUGAGGGAGGAGGCACUGACCAGUGGCUGAGCACAGAGGCCAGAGCCCGGGGCGCCUGUUCAGGGCACCUCAGAAAACAGCUGCCUGGAGGCAUGUGCUGCUGAUAAGAUGGGUGUUCCUGGGGCACAGCGGGGCUGAAAUUAGUUCCCUAGAGAGUAACUGACCUCUGGGUUGUAUUAAGACUAAAGAGGUUCCAGGAUGCUGGCGUAUCCAGAUGAGCCAGCCACUCUAUUCUCUGAGGCUUCUGUAGCCUGCACCCGAACAAGCAGGGAUGGUGGGUGGGCAGUGAGUGGAUGCUGCCAGGGAGGGUCAGAACAUCUCCUUCCAUAAGGUUGGACCUGGAGUUCUGUGAGUGAGGGAUCCCAGAGGAUCCAGACCUGAGUGUGAAUACCUAUGGCUGUGUGUGCGGGGCUCUCCUCUGUGUGUCUGUGUGAGGGAGUGAGAGAAAGACAUGUUCCAUGUGACGCUGUUGGGUGUCAACUGUGAGGGCUGAGAGAACUAUAGGCUGUCUGUGCGAGGAAGAGAGAGCAAGUCGGCAGUAACCCUCACAUCUAUGAACCCACUAUGUGAGUGCACUAUGGGGUGUCUGAGUGGAGAAUUCUGCUGCCUGUGGGACUGGUCUGUGUACAUUCAUGUCUGUGUCAGGUAUGGGGCUUGUGAAUGGGAGAUACUGUCUCCAAGAGUCUGGGAGGUUGUUUCAGUGUGUUGCUGUUUCUGAAAUAGGGUCUCCCGCAGCCCAGGCUCCUUCGAACUCCUGUGUGACCGAGGCGGACCUUGACCUUCUCCUGACUUCACUUUCAGGGUAUGGAGGUUACAGGUGCACACUACCACAGCCAGUGUGUUUAGUGGUGGGGCUCACAUCGAGGGCUUCCUGCACACUGGGCAAGCACUCUACCAGCUGAGCUGCAUCCCCAGCCCCACCCAAGAGUCUGUUUUGGCAUAAGCGUGGCAGACUGAUGGUGGUGCUUUAUGUGAGCCAUGGGAGGAUUUGGCUGGCGGUGAGAUCCAUGUGUAUGUCAAGAUAACACAGGUGGGAGGAGAGCGCUCCCAGUAAUGUGGUGGUAGGGUAUCAAGUGUGUGCCCAAUAAGCAGAUGGGCAAAUUGAGUCCUUCCAGAGUCAGGCCAUUGUCUCACCAUCUACCCCAAAGGCAGGAUUUCCUGUCCCAGAACUCAGAUUGUCCUUUGGUUAAUUCCCAGUUCAUCAUGGGUAAUAUCCACACCUAGGAGUGUCUGUUUGCCCCUGUGAACUCCUUCCCCCCAGUCAACUGUCUUCUCAGAGCUGAAGAAGCUGCCAGCCGCUUGGAAGCA